AUGGCCCUGUCCCAACAUCCUGAUGCUGCUCAGCUUCCCCACACAAAGCUCCUUCCUCCCACCAGCCAUCAGCCACAUCCCCUCCACUGUCCCUGUCCCCUCUCUGUCCCCAUCCCCACUCAGCUCAGGGGUUUCUCCAGGAUCUCCUGUAAUGUUUUCACUGUCCCUCAGCCCCCCCCAGUCACAAAGAGCCAACUCCUGCCAUGUCCCACCUCUGGCAGCCAGCUGUGGGAUUUGUACACAGCCAGCUGGGAAUAUCUGGGGCUUGCCAUGAGCAGUCCCAGUUCACUCCAGCAGCACAGCAAGGAGGAACAAGCCAGACGGAGGCACUGCCACAGUUCUGGGGACACAACCUGCAUCUCCGCUCACACCCUGCCUGUCCCCAGUGCUGCUCCUGCCCUCUCUGGGGACAGAGUGCCAGCUGACAGCCACGAGCUGUCCCAGCAGGCACUCUGGGAGCCAGCUGAGCCCGCGUGUGUCCCUGCAGGUGACGCUGCACACCGGGCUGCCCGUGCCCGAGUUCUACGCCUCGCGCUCGGCCAUGCCCUGAGGACGCUCCCGGAGCCGGCUGCCUCUUCUGGGAUGAGAGGAGCCAGCCAUUCCCUCCUGCAGGACGAGGCCAGCCUGCCCAGCUGCUGGGCCACCAGAUCCCUGCUGGGCCACCAGAUCCCUGCUCAGCCUCUGGCUGGAGAAGCAGAUGAGGAAGGAAGAUCCCGGCUUUCGGCCGCUCCGCUCUCCGGCCUCCGCGCUGUCCUGUGUGUGUGCGCUUUGCUCUUUAGCUCUCUUUGGCUGAUGAAGUACCUAGGUAGCCUGAGCUGUUCUCCUGUGUCUGCUUUUAGGUUUGGUUUUCCUGAUUUCAUUUGGGGUUUUUGGGGAUGGGACAGUUCCGUGUCGCUCUCCCCUCCCGCGGGGCCAGCGGAGGGACCCCAGCACGGGAACGCUUCGCCCACGCCAGCCUGGUUACUUUGCAGGAUUCUUUCUUUCCCCUGUGGCCUUUCUUGCAGAGCACCCUCGGUCAUGUGUAGAGGUGGGUCCUGGAUUACCAGUCAGUCUCCAUGUCCUGACCAGAACACCCCACUGUGUCCCCUGUCCCCCAGGAGCGUCUGUGCGGGGCAGGGGGUGGCCAUCCUGUCCCCAGGUGCUCUGGGUGCUGGCAGACCCUUGGUCGGGUGCUGA
rnacentral:lncRNA from 1 species